rnacentral:rRNA from 1 species
UGGGGAAUUUUGGACAAUGGGGGCAACCCUGAUCCAGCGAUGCCGCGUGAAGGAUGAAGUAUUUCGGUAUGUAAACUUCGAAAGAAUAGGAAGAAUAAAUGACGGUACUAUUUAUAAGGUCCGGCUAACUACGUGCCAGCAGCCGCGGUAAUACGUAGGGACCAAGCGUUGUUCGGAUUUACUGGGCGUAAAGGGCGCGUAGGCGGCAAUUCAAGUCAUCUGUGAAAUCUCCGGGCUUAACUCGGAACGGUCAGAUGAUACUGCUUUGCUAGAGUGCAGAAGGGGCAAUCGGAAUUCUUGGUGUAGCGGUGAAAUGCGUAGAUAUCAAGAGGAACACCUGAGGUGAAGACGGGUUGCUGGGCUGACACUGACGCUGAGGCGCGAAAGCCAGGGGAGCAAACGGGGAUUAGAUACCCAAGUAGUCCCUGAGCGGGCUGGCAAGGCGCAU